rnacentral:lncRNA from 1 species
CUCCUUCCUCCUCUCACCCUCUUCUUUCUCUUCCACAUUCCCAAAUAAAAAGAGCACCCUACCCAAAACUCAAAGCAACAUUUUUGGUGCUUUUUCUGCAGUCUGGUUUUCCAUAUCAGAGCCAUGGGAGGAGGCAACGGGCAGAAGGCCAAGACGGCACGCGAAAGGAACAUGGAGAAGCAAAAAGCCGCCAAGGGUAAUUCUUUCUCUUACUUUCAUUGCAUAAGCCUCAGAUUUUCUUAGACCCGUGUGUGAUGAAACUGAUACAUCUGGGUUUUGUUCAUUUAUUUAUUUAUUUAGGAAGCCAGCUUGAGGCCAACAAGAAGGCCAUGAACAUCCAGGUAUGUAGUCCCUUUGCAAGCCUUGGCUUUAAUUUGUUUCAAAGUAUUAUGCUUUAUGAUGGGUCUUGCUGUUUGAUUUAUUAUUAAGCUAUAUAUCAUUUGUUGGUGCUUAAUUUUCAUUCACCAAAAAAUUUAUGGUGCCACUCAAAUUUUGUUUAUUUUUUGUUAUCCAUUUGGUCGAUGAAGAAUUUCAUGGUCUGAUUAGAUUUAAGAGCCAGUGACUUAUCUAAUGUUUGUACAGAAACUUUACUUAAUCAAUUUUACUUUGCUGGGGUUUGGAGAUUUUGGCUUUUGUGAUUUGGUAUUGUAACUUGAUUGAUUGGCAAUGAGGAAAUAUAUGUUACAUAUGUAUGUGUGUUAUUUGUACGCUUCUUGUAGUGAUAUGAAGAUGGUUGAUGUGGAAUUUUCCAGCUUGAGUUCCGGCACCUGAGUUUUUCACUCUGUACAUCUCUGUUCUAAUUGGUUUUUUCUUUUCUAUUUAAUCCAAUGACUCCACUUUGAUUUCAGCUCCUCCUACGCCUUAGCUGAUCAACAAUUGCUGUUAUACAUAUCCAUCCCUACUGAAUCAUGUCCACUUGAUCAUGGGCAGAUACUAAGCUGCAGUAAAAAAAUCUACAAAUGGAAUUUAUUCAGAUAGAAUUUAAUCACUUGACAUCCCUUAUGCAUAAUUUUAUGCUUUAAAACACUUUUAGAAUGAUAUUGUUUUAAUCAAUUUCCUAUAGAUAUUCAUACUUGUGUUUUCCAUUUGUAUCGGUUUCAUGCGUUGUUAUAAUUUUCAAUCUUAGGAGAUGCUUUGUUAAUUUGCUUAUUUGUUGUUGAUUAUAAGUUGCCUCAAGUUCAUGUACAUGUGAGAUGUCUAAUUCUGCUUUUGGACUAGUGAUCUCUAUGGGUUUUAUAAGUCUUUUUUCUCUAUAAGCAUGACUUGUACAAAGAUAUUCUUGUGAGUUUAUUAUUCCUACAAUGUAGCUUGGUGGAAUUCCAUACCUUGAUAAUGAUGAGGUUGUGAGAAGCUAUGACUGACAUAUUGUGCUUGAUUCACUUAUUUUUACCUGCUCGAUGUCAUUGCAUUAGAAAUAGUUUUUAAACUCAUUGACAAAGUUUGUGACUCGGUUUGUUCUUGUUAUAAUUGUCACUGGUGUUGUCACUCGUUUCGUUCCCUCAAUGAUGCAUUUUGGCGGGUAAUGGUUACCGAAUGCAGUGCAAGGUGUGCAUGCAGACAUUUAUAUGUACCACAUCAGAGGUGAAGUGCCGGGAACAUGCUGAAGCAAAGCACCCUAAGGCUGAUGUUUACUCUUGUUUCCCACAUCUUAAAAAAUGAUCCUUAAAACUGCAAAACUUGCAGACUGGGACUGGCUUUAGAAUGUAUAUGUAUCUUGCUACACUGGCUUUAGAAUGGCUUUAGUUAAUGAAGUUGUGUUGUCUAUUCAACCAUCCAAUAUGCCCAAAAGAAAAAGGUCUGUUAAAGAAUAAAGAAAAUGGUGUUGAGUUGGAUUUUGAAUGUUAAAUUACUAGGCACAGAUCAAUUUAGAUAUCUGGAUGGGAGCAUGCGUGUCAUAAAUCUACUGUAUUUUCAUUAAAAAUAUAUGAUUUGGCUAAAGCUUAUUUGUCUUGCACAAAGUUGCCCUGAUCUAUGAGUAAUCUUUUGUUUGACAAUCAGUGUCCCAUGGUUUUUUUUUUUUCCAAUCCAUGUUAUAAUUGUGUAUUAUUAUAUCAUAGUAUAUAAAUUAUGUCGUUCAUUCAUAUUACAAUGUUUGGAUUGAUAACAUCACGUGACGGUGAUAUAGUCUCGCUUUAAAAUUUUGAAUGUUUGGAUUGAUAACAUCACAUGAAGGUCUUAUAGUCUCGCUUUAAAAUUUCUUUUCUUUUUUGGUCAGAUCUACCAUAGUUAGACAACCUCGUUUUCCAAUUGGUAAAAAAGAAUCCUAGUAACCCACUCCCCCAUAUGGUCCGGCAAAAUUGUUGCUAAUGAACUGAUUGCCCACCAUGAAUGUCUUCGGUCAAAGAAGCUUCACAGGGCAGGUUCCGAAUCACUCAUUAAGCAUCAGCUCAGAACUUACUCAAGCAUAUUGGCCCAUUGGCUUUUUACCAACCAGCAAAUAAAGAAGGAAAUUUCCACUCCACUCAAUUCUUUCUUUGUGUGGAAAGUCGUUUCUGUGAGGACACUAAUAAUUAAAAACCACAUGCUCUCGAAAAAGACAUAUUUUACAUACAAGUUGCUAAGUUCGUGAUUCUUCCAUUCAAAAGGGGAAAUGCUUUAUAAUUCAUUUAUUUUUUCAACUUUUAUCCAAAUUCUCACACAUGAAGUGGAAUCCAUGAAAUUGUAUUCGAGCAAGACCUAUGUAAGUAAUUAAACUUUUGUUACAAAGGGUUUGUAUUAGGUCACAUAAUGAGAAAUAAAUAAAGUGUAUAAUCUCGUGACAGAAAAGUUAAAGUAGUUGUGAUAAGUCACGUGAUGAAAGAUCAAUACA